AUACGGAGGGGGCUAGCGUUGUUCGGAAUUACUGGGCGUAAAGCGCGCGUAGGCGGGUUGGCAAGUUGAAGGUGAAAUCCCAGGGCUCAACCCUGGAACUGCCUCCAAAACUGCCAGUCUUGAGUUCGGAAGAGGUGAGUGGAAUUCCUAGUGUAGAGGUGAAAUUCGUAGAUAUUAGGAAGAACACCAGUGGCGAAGGCGACUCACUGGUCCGAUACUGACGCUGAGGUGCGAAAGCGUGGGGAGCAAACAGGAUUAGAAACCCUAGUAGUCC
rnacentral:rRNA from 1 species